UUGCAUGCAAGUUCUCUACAGUAGCACGAGGACCUUGGGUGCAGUGACUACAAACAGCUGCCAUCUUGGAAAUGUAUGGAGCUCGUUGCUUGUAUGUGUCCCUUUUAGAAACAUUCAAGACAAUU
rnacentral:snoRNA from 1 species